rnacentral:rRNA from 1 species
GUGGGGAAUAUUGGACAAUGGGCGAAAGCCUGAUCCAGCCAUGCCGCGUGUGUGAAGAAGGUCUUCGGAUUGUAAAGCACUUUAAGUUGGGAGGAAGGGCAGUAAGUUAAUACCUUGCUGUUUUGACGUUACCGACAGAAUAAGCACCGGCUAACUUCGUGCCAGCAGCCGCGGUAAUACGAAGGGUGCAAGCGUUAAUCGGAAUUACUGGGCGUAAAGCGCGCGUAGGUGGUUUUGUAAGUUGGAGGUGAAAUCCCCGGGCUCAACCUGGGAACUGCCUCCAAAACUGCAUGACUAGAGUACGGUAGAGGGUAGUGGAAUUUCCUGUGUAGCGGUGAAAUGCGUAGAUAUAGGAAGGAACACCAGUGGCGAAGGCGACUACCUGGACUGAUACUGACACUGAGGUGCGAAAGCGUGGGGAGCAAACAGGAUUAGAAACCCGAGUAGUC